rnacentral:miRNA from 1 species
UUCCAGGGUUGCAGAAAGAACCCUGGACUUAGAUUCAGAAGAUCUGAG